UUCGACUGUUUACCAAAAACAUAGCCACCCGUUACCCAUAGGUGGUGUAACCUGCUCAGUGGCUGGGAAUAAAAAUAAUAAUUAACAACAGUUAAAUAGCCGCGGUAACUCUGACCGUGAUAAAGUAGCAUAAUCAUUUGUCACUUAAUUAGUGACUGGAAUGAAUGGUUGAACGAAUCUUCCACUGUCUCAAUAAGAGAUUCUAUAAAAUUGGAAUUGUAGUGAAGAUACUACAAAUAAAUUGCAAGACGAAAAGACCCUAUUGAGCUUUACUGGAUACUUGUAACAACAAUAAACAAUAUUAAUUUAUAUUUUUUAUAAACAAUGCAAGUAAGACAGUUUGGUUGGGGCGACCACCCUUAAAAUAGUAACAAGGGAGAUCUAAAGGUUAACAAAAUGUAUAAAAACCUAACUGAAUUAAUAACAGUUUAAACAGACACAAAAGUGUGGGACAUAAUGACCCGCUUAAUAAAAUUAAAAAAUAAGCGAUUACGGAAAAAGUUACCAUAGGGAUAACAGGGUAAUAUUUUCAAAGAGUUCUAAUCGAUGAAAAUGUUUGCCACCUCGAUGUUGAAUUGUGAUAUCCUGGGGGUGCAGCAGCUCCCAAGGGUUGGUCUGUUCGACCAUUAAAAUCUUACAUGAUUUGA
rnacentral:rRNA from 1 species